rnacentral:rRNA from 1 species
AUUGAACGCUGGCGGCAGGCCUAACACAUGCAAGUCGAACGAGUGGCGGACGGGUGAGUAAUGUCUGGGCAACUGCCUGAUGGAGGGGGAUAACUACUGGAAACGGUAGCUAAUACCGCAUACCAUCAGAUGUGCCCAGAUGGGAUUAGCUAGGUGGUGGGGUAACGGCUCACCAAGGCGACGAUCCCUAGCUGGUCUGAGAGGAUGACCAGACACACUGGAACUAGGACAGGGGCCAGACUCCUACGGGGGGGAGUGGUGGGGAAUAGUGGACAAUGGGCGAAAGCCUGAUGCAGCCAUGCCGGGUGUAUGAAGAAGGCCUUCGGGUUGUAAGGUACUUUCAGCGGGGAGGCGUUACCCGCAGAAGAAGCACCGGCUAACUCCGUGCCAGCAGCCGCGGUAAUUC